CCCCCUCCAUCUUAUCUGCAAUCAGAGACGACCUCUGAAAAGGCUUUUCCUGGGCAGGCAGAAAGGCUAUCAGCCGUCUCGGAUCAGCUGGACAAAAUAUGAAAUUUGUUGGAAUAGAAGUUUCUUUCUUCAUUCUCUUCACCCACUCUGCUCUUUGGAAUGUAGGAGCUCAAGACUCUUGCUCACAUCGUUGUGGAGAGCUGCUUGAUACCUGUUCCUGCCAGGUGACAUGCCAGUCCUUGCAGAUUUGCUGCCCUGAUUAUAAAGAAUUUUGUCUUCAAAUUUCUCCAUAUUCGGGAUCUCUGAUGGGAGGCAAAGACUUUUUGAUUGAAAAUACAGCUUUCAGUGCCUCUUCUGU